GACGAACGCUGGCGGCGUGCUUAACACAUGCAAGUCGAACGGAAAGGCCCUGCUUGCAGGGUACUCGAGUGGCGAACGGGUGAGUAACACGUGGGUUAUCUGCCCUGCACUUCGGGAUAAGCCUGGGAAACUGGGUCUAAUACCGGAUAGGAGCCAUUUUUAGUGUGAUGGUUGGAAAGUUUUGUCGGUGUAGGAUGAGCUCGCGGCCUAUCAGCUUGUUGGUGGGGUAAUGGCCUACCAAGGCGGCGACGGGUAGCCGGCCUGAGAGGGUGGACAGCUACAUUGGGACUGAGAUACGGCCCAGACUCCUACGGGAGGCAGCAGUGGGGAAUAUUGCACAAUGGGCGCAAGCCUGAUGCAGCGACGCCGCGUGGGGGAUGACGGCCUUCGGGUUGUAAACUCCUUUCGCUAGGGACGAAGCUUUUUGUGACGGUACCUAGAUAAGAAGCACCGGCUAACUACGUG
rnacentral:rRNA from 1 species